CUUAAACAGAGCUGAGCUUUAUCGGGCUUCGGGGAAGUUUGAACUACUUGAUCGUAUUUUACCUAAGUUGCAAGCCACUAACCAUCGUGUGCUUCUUUUCUGUCAAAUGACAUCACUCAUGACCAUUAUGGAGGACUAUUUUGCAUUUCGAAAUUUCCUUUACUUACGUCUUGACGGUACAACAAAAUCAGAGGAUCGAGCUGCCCUGCUGAAGAAGUUUAAUGAACCUGGCUCACAGUACUUCAUCUUCUUGCUGAGUACAAGGGCAGGAGGGCUGGGCUUGAACCUCCAGGCUGCUGACACUGUUAUAAUCUUUGAUAGUGAUUGGAAUCCUCACCAGGACUUGCAGGCUCAAGACCGAGCUCAUCGAAUUGGUCAGCAGAAUGAGGUUCGAGUCCUGCGACUGUGCACUGUGAACAGUGUGGAGGAGAAGAUACUCGCUGCUGCAAAGUAUAAACUGAAUGUAGAUCAAAAAGUUAUUCAGGCUGGAAUGUUUGAUCAGAAAUCUUCAAGCCAUGAGCGGAGGGCUUUUCUACAGGCUAUAUUAGAACAUGAGGAAGAAAAUGAGGUAAGGCAGUUAAAAAAAAAUUCAAAGAUGAUUCAGUUGGUGCUUGGGAAGCAGCUAUAUAACUGGUAGGCGAGAGUGCAGUUUGCGUGCAGCUUGGGACUGCUUGAAACUGCAAGCUAUUAUAUAAUUUCCUUACAGGAAAACAACUCUAUUCCUAAAGGAUAUUCUCAUGAGAACUUGUUGCUGCACUGUUAGAUAAAGGCGAGGCCAUGUAGGUGGCGUAGUCACCGG